rnacentral:rRNA from 1 species
GAUGAACGCUAGCGGCAGGCCUAAUACAUGCAAGUCGAACGGUAAUUUUCUCUGCAAAGGGAAAAACGAGUGGCGCACGGGUGCGUAACACGUAUGCAACCUACCCUGUACUGGGGCAUAACCCUGAGAAAUCGGGGCUAAUUCCCCAUGGUAUUGACUUACGGCAUCGUAAGUUGAUUAAAGAUUUAUCGGUACGGGAUGGGCAUGCGCCCCAUUAGUUAGUUGGUGAGGUAACGGCUCACCAAGACUGUGAUGGGUAGGGGAUCUGAGAGGACUACCCCCCACACUGGUACUGAGACACGGACCAGACUCCUACGGGAGGCAGCAGUAAGGAAUAUUGGGCAAUGGAGGCAACUCUGACCCAGCCAUGCCGCGUGCAGGAAGACGGCCCUAUGGGUUGUAAACUGCUUUUCUGAGGGACUAAUUUCUCAUACGAGUUAUGAGAUUGCAUGUACUUCAGGAAUAAGCAUCGGCUAACUCCGUGCCAGCAGCCGCGGUAAUACGGAGGAUGCGAGCGUUAUCCGGACUUAUUGGGUUUAAAGGGUGCGUAGGCUGACAAGUAAGUCAGUGGUGAAAUGUCAUGGCUCAACCAUGGACUUGCCAUUGAUACUGUUUGUCUGGAGUGUAUUGGAAGUUGGUGGAACGAGGGGUGUAGCGGUGAAAUGCAUAGAUAUUCCUCAGAACGCCGAUAGCGCAGGCAACUGACUACGAUACAACUGACGCUGAGGCACGAAAGCGUGGGGAUCAAACAGGAUUAGAUACCCUGGUAGUCCACGCUGUAAACGAUGAUCACUAGCUGUUUGCGAUAUACAGUAAGUGGCUAAGCGAAAGCGAUAAGUGAUCCACCUGGGGAGUACGUCGGCAACGAUGAAACUCAAAGGAAUUGACGGGGGCCCGCACAAGCGGAGGAGCAUGUGGUUUAAUUCGAUGAUACGCGAGGAACCUUACCUGGGCUUGAACGUAUGGUGCAUGGCGGAGAAAUUCGCCUUUCCCUAGGGACUCUAUACGAGGUGCUGCAUGGCUGUCGUCAGCUCGUGCCGUGAGGUGUUAGGUUAAGUCCUGCAACGAGCGCAACCCCUGUUUCCAGUUGCCAGCACAUAAAGGUGGGGACUCUGGAGAGACUGCCUGCGCAAGCAGAGAGGAAGGUGGGGAUGACGUCAAGUCAGCACGGCCCUUACGUCCAGGGCUACACACGUGCUACAAUGGUCGGUACAGAGGGCAGCUUUAUGGUGACAUAUGGCUAAUCCCUAAAGCCGGUCUUAGUUCGGAUCGGAGUCUGCAACUCGACUUCGUGAAGCUGGAUUCGCUAGUAAUCGUAUAUCAGCCAUGAUACGGUGAAUACGUUCCCGGGCCUUGUACACACCGCCCGUCAAGCCAUGGAAGUCAGUGGUACCUGAAGUCGAUGCCCUUCACAGGAGUCGCCUAGGGUAAGACUGAUAACUGGGGCU